rnacentral:lncRNA from 1 species
ACCUCCAGCUACACUCGCGCUUUACCGCUGGGGACCACUACUUCAAGCCGCGGCUGCACCUUGAGGAGACAAAGCGAAGCCCAGCGAAACGGCGGCGGCAGCAGCAGCCCCCUAGACAGGGACCCCAGGGCAGGGCACGGGCCGCCCCCCUCGGGGGGGCUGCGCGCAGCGGCUGCAGGCAGGGCUGUGGCAGGGAAGCACCGCCGGAAAGCAAAGCCUCUGGCGGCAGCGAAUCCCCGGGGCCCUCAGGUUCAGGCACGGAGCUCAGCGGCAAGGCAGGCAGGGACCGACCGGGCAGGGGAAGCCAAUCCGGCAGGGCAGAGCCGCGGCAAACCACGCAGAGCUGCGGGAAACGGCCGCCCCGGGCCGGGCUCCGGGCAGCGGCCCCAGCGCAGCGGCAGCCAGGCGGCGCCGCGCAGCACAGGCCGGAGACGGGCCCGGGGCAGGCAGCGCUCGCGGGGGAGCGCCGGGGUCCCGGGAGCGCCAGCGGGGGCCCCGGGCAGGGACGAUGCUGCCUCCCGCCCCGUCCCGUCCCGUCGCGCCCCCCGCCCCGAGAGCCGCCUCCGCCGGGGCACGGCGAGGCAGCGCGGCGGGGGCGCCCCCACCGCCCCCCCCAGCGAGGCCGGCCGGGGGCGAGGAGCCCCCCGAGACGCCAGGCCUCCGCCCGCCGGGUCCCCGCGACCCCCGGCUCCGCGCCGAGCUGCGAGCCGGGACAGCGGCGGCGCCGCGCCGCCCCGCGCGCUCCCGUUCCCACCGCCGCCGYCGCCUCCGCCCUUUCCGCCCGCCCGCAGCGCGGAGACCCCCCGCUCCCCUCACCGGGCACGGCGGCGUAGCAGCUCCUCCGUCCCUCGGCCAAGAUGGCAGCCGCUCCGAGCCCAACCUGAGGCAGCGACUUUCCAAAGUCGGGCGGGCCGUGCGCACGCGCGGAGUCGCCGAGAGGCCGCGGUGACUACAAGUCCCGGCGUGCCCCGCGCAUGCGCGCACCGCCUUUCCGCCCUCCUGAGGGGGCSGGGCCGGGCCGGGCCGCGGCGGGGCCUCUCCCGUUGGCCCGCGGCUGCGGUUUGUGCGCGUCGCGGGAGCAGCCGGAGGCCUGGGGCAGCCGGGGCUUUGGCGCCGAGCUCGCCUGAGCGUGGUGCCCGGGCAGCCGGCAGCGGGGCGCGGCUGCGGUUUGCCCCGCUCCGGUGA